rnacentral:misc_RNA from 1 species
UUCAUUCUCAUCAGGCUCAACCAUGUCAUCAACUACUAUGUUAGGGUAUUGGGUCAACAUGUCAAGUAUGGUGAGCACAUUCUGCACGCACUUUUUCCAUACGUUUACCGGCAUGUGCCCACUGAGACUUGGAUUAACAUCAAACUGGGCAGAGACGAUACUGAAAAGAAUUUCAAGCUUCUGAGCUGGGGUCUUGGCCACCUUGGUCAAGAAG